UACAGUUACUCAUAUUUUGUAUUUUAAAUACGUAACGGCGAUACAUGUAUUCCGUUACUCCCCAAAACUGGCCAUCAGUGAUCAUGUGAUUUAAGUGCUCGAUGCUUUGCCCUUUUUUCUUAGAUUUUUAUCUGUUUUUUCUUUAAUCCCAGAACUCUUGACAGUAUAAAAUUUUAAAAAUAACAAUAAUUUUGUUUGAAUCAUGUUUACCCUUGUAAGGAACUCUUCUCUCCAUUUUCUCUUUACUCUUUUACACAUCACAAAUGGCAGAGUUUGACCACCAUGAAUAGAAUAGAAAUUUGACCCCGGAACAUGUUAUCAGUAGGCUGGCUGGAUAGCAUCUUAUAGUUACGUAUUUUAAAAUGUAACAUUCAGCAGAACAACCCAAAUAAUUCAAUCUGAGCUCAGAGAGAUGAUGAACACUGCUGGAAGACUGAGCUGGAGUCAUGUGUGGUAUUCAAACCCUUCCUUGUGACCUUCCUUGGCACCCCUCCUGGACCUUACCAACAACCCUCACGUUGAACCUUCGUCUAAAUGCAUCUCCGGAAACUCAGGAAUUCCGCUUUUGCCAGUGUCCUCUAUCCUAGAGAAAUCCCCCCAUGGAAGUUAUUCUGUGUUUUAAAAUCAGUGCUUCUUGUAAACA